UAUGCGAAAAACAAACCUUAGCUAGCAGUAUCCUGAGUAGGGCGGGACACGAGAAAUCCUGUCUGAAGCUGGGUCGACCACGAUCCAACCCUAAAUACUAAUACCAGAUCGAUAGUGCACAAGUACCGUGAGGGAAAGGUGAAAAGAACUGAGGUGAUCAGAGUGAAAUAGAACCUGAAACCAUUUGCUUACAAUCAUUCAGAGCCCUAUGUAGCAAUACAGGGUGAUGGACUGCCUUUUGCAUAAUGAGCCUGCGAGUUGUGGUGUCUGGCAAGGUUAAGCAAACGCGAAGCCGUAGCGAAAGCGAGUCUGAAUAGGGCGCUUAGUCAGAUGCUGCAGACCCGAAACGAAGUGAUCUAUCCAUGAGCAAGUUGAAGCUAGUGUAAGAACUAGUGGAGGACUGAACCCAUAGGCGUUGAAAAGCCCCGGGAUGACUUGUGGAUAGGGGUGAAAGGCCAAUCAAACUUCGUGAUAGCUGGUUCUCUCCGAAAUAUAUUUAGGUAUAGCGUUGUGUCGUAAUAUAAGGGGGUAGAGCACUGAAUGGGCUAGGGCAUACACCAAUGUACCAAACCCUAUCAAACUCCGAAUACCUUAUAUGUAAUCACAGCAGUCAGGCGGCGAGUGAUAAAAUCCGUCGUCAAGAGGGAAACAACCCAGACUACCAGCUAAGGUCCCUAAAUCUUACUUAAGUGGAAAACGAUGUGAAGUUACUUAAACAACCAGGAGGUUGGCUUAGAAGCAGCCAUCCUUUAAAGAAAGCGUAAUAGCUCACUGGUCUAGUGAUUUUGCGCGGAAAAUAUAACGGGGCUAAAGUAAGUACCGAAGCUGUAGACUUGCGCACAA
rnacentral:rRNA from 1 species